rnacentral:misc_RNA from 1 species
GCAUCGGGCCACUGCUUGCCAUAACGCGGGACCUUAAAGGGGUCCAAGCUAUUCGUCAUCCGUAGGCUCUCACCAACGUCUAGUACAAGACAUCGGUCUCCANACGGUCGGACUCUGUGUAGUUCCCGUAACAAGCGCGGCUACUGGGCAGAGUACCAGACUGUAGAAGUCAGUGAAACCUUGCUGGUGGACGACACCUGUAUGAGAGUGUCGACCCAGGUAUCCACCGGGACCUUCCCCGUGGUCCAAGUAUUGGCACACCUUGAACCGUGGAGGAGCAUUUGAUCCGGGGCGCCCUUCAACGUCACUGAAUAGUGCGUGGGUGUCACGUGAGACGGCACACCACCAGGUUUCUUGACCUGGACGUAGAGGACGGGGCUAUCCUUGGCUUUCCAAGGAGUGAGAAAUUCAGACGGGCCGGGGAGAGUGUUGCCACCUACACCCCUAUUUCGACGGCGACGAUUGUUGCGAUUAGCCAUGACGUAGAAUUGAUCAGAUUCACGGUUAUUUUCUCGCGGUUCAUACAC